rnacentral:misc_RNA from 1 species
CUUCAGAUGAUGAUCCCAAGCCUUCUGGCGUUCUGUUCAUCAAAUUUUAAAAGCGUUUAAGCAGAUAUAAAGCGUUUAAGAAACAUAUAAAGAAGGUGUUUAAGAAACAUAUCUGUUUCUUAAACAUAUCUUUUGUUUUCUUUUAUCUGUCCCGAGGAAGGUUUUUACCGAUUUACUCCUGAGGGCUUGUAGCUCAGUUGGUUAGAGCGCGCGCUUGAUAAGCGUGAGGUCGGAGGUUCAAGUCCUCCCAGGCCCACCAAUUUAUGAUUGCUGAUAAGUUUGCUGAUAAGUUUUUUGCGAAUGUUUUGAUGGUCUUUUAUCUUACGAUCUUUCACUUUUAUGUUGCAAUCUUUCAAAAGUAUUUGAACUGUUUUAGGGGCCGUAGCUCAGCUGGGAGAGCACCUUCUUUGCAAGCAGGGGGUCGUCGGUUC